GACGAACGCUGGCGGCGUGCUUAACACAUGCAAGUCGAACGGAAAGGCCCUGCUUUUGUGGGGUGCUCGAGUGGCGAACGGGUGAGUAACACGUGAGUAACCUGCCCUUGACUUUGGGAUAACUUCAGGAAACUGGGGCUAAUACCGGAUAGGAGCUCCUGCUGCAUGGUGGGGGUUGGAAAGUUUCGGCGGUUGGGGAUGGACUCGCGGCUUAUCAGCUUAUUGGUGGGGUAGUGGCUUACCAAGGCUUUGAUGGGUAGCCGGCCUGAGAGGGUGACCGGCCACAUUGGGACUGAGAUACGGCCCAGACUCCUACGGGAGGCAGCAGUGGGGAAUAUUGCACAAUGGGCGGAAGCCUGAUGCAGCAACGCCGCGUGCGGGAUGACGGCCUUCGGGUUGUAAACCGCUUUCGCCUGUGACGAAGCGUGAGUGACGGUAAUGGGUAAAGAAGCACCGGCUAACUACGUG
rnacentral:rRNA from 1 species